ACUAGCUUCAAGAUAAGUAUUCUAGGAGGAAGCUUCGAGAACAGGAGCUGGAUAGGUUGGGGGUGUACGCGCAGUAAUGUGUUUAGCUGACCAAUACUAAUCGAACGAAAUUUUAAUCA
rnacentral:rRNA from 1 species